rnacentral:rRNA from 1 species
CAAUAGCGUAUAUUAAAGUUGUUGCAGUUAAAAAGCUCGUAGUUGGAUUUCUGGGAGAGUGGCGAUGUCCGCUUAACGUGUGUGCAGCGACGCUCUUCCAUCCUUCUGUUAGCGUCUCUCGGCAUUCAUUUGUCGGUGGCGGGCUCAGAUAUUUUACCUUGAGAAAAUUAGAGUGUUUCAGGCAGGCUAGGCCGGAAUACAUUAGCAUGGAAUAAUGGAAUAGGACUACGGUCUCUUUGUUGGUUUGAGGGACUGCAGUAAUGAUUAAUAGGGAUAGUUGGGGGCAUUAGUAUUUAAUUGUCAGAGGUGGAAUUCUCAGAUUUGUUAAAGACUAACUUAUGCGAAAGCAUUUGCCAAGGAUGUUUUCAUUA